rnacentral:rRNA from 1 species
UUCCGGUUGAUCCCGCCGGAGGCUACCGCUAUUGGAGUUCGAUUAAGCCAUGCGAGUCGCGAGUCUUAGGGACUCGGCGUACCGCUCAGUAACACGUGGGUAACCUGCCCUAUGCUGGGGGAUAACCUCGGGAAACUGAGAAUAAUACCCCAUAGUUCACCACGCCUGGAACGGUGGGUGGAUGAAAGCUCCGGCGGCAUAGGAUGGGCCUGCGGCGUAUCAGGUUGUAGGGGGUGUAAUGUACCCUCUAGCCAUCUACGCGUACGGGUGUUGGGAGACAUCGCCCGGAGAUGGAUUCUGAGACACGAAUCCAGACCCUACGGGGUGCAGCAGGCGCGAAAACUUGGCAAUGCGAGCAAUCGUGACCAGGGAACUCCAAGUGCAUCGGGUAAGACCGAUGCUUUUCUUGACUCUUCAAAGGUCUUGGAAUAAGGGGUGGGUAAGGACGGUGCCAGCCGCCGCGGUAAUACCGGCGCCUCAAGUGGUAGUCGCUUUUAUUGGGCCUAAAACGUCCGUAGCCGGUUUGGUACAUUCGUGGGUAAAUCAAGGCGCUCAACGUCUUGAAUUCUGCGAGCACGGCCAGACUUGGGACCGGGUGAGGUGUGGGGUACUCUCAGGGUAGGGGUAAAAUCCUGUCAUCCUGAGAGGACCACCUGUUGCGAAGGCGCCACACUAGAACGGAUCCGACGGUCAGGGACGAAGCCUAGGGGCACGAACCGGAUUAGAUACCCGGGUAGUCCUAGGUGUAAACGCUGUGGACUUGAUGUUGGGAGUGCUCCGAGCACCCUCAGUGUCGAAGCGAAGGUGAUAAGUCCACUGCCUGGGGAGUACGGUCGCAAGGCUGAAACUUAAAGGAAUUGGCGGGGGAGCACUGCAACCUGAGGAUUGUGCGGUUUAAUUGGAUUCAACGCCGG